rnacentral:rRNA from 1 species
GACAGAGGUGCCAAGCGUUAGGCGGAAUCACUGGGCUUAAAGCGUGUGUAGGUGGAUGCCUAAGUGCCUUGUGAAAUCCCGACGGCUCAACCGUGGAAACGGCUGGGCAUACUGGCGGUCUUGGAGCCAUCUAGGGGCGACUGGAACAAACGGUGGAGCGGUGAAAUGCGUAGAUAUCGUUUGGAGCGCCAAUGGUGAAAACAGGUCGCUGGGGAUGUGCUGACGCUGAGACACGAAAGCCAGGGGAGCAAACGGG